rnacentral:lncRNA from 1 species
UUAGGGAAUAGGAUAUAUGACAAUAACGUUGAUAUUUAAAUGAGGAGAAAUGAAGAGAAUUUGUAAACAGAAAAAGUUUGUAUGAUGCCACAUUAGUUCCACAUUAGGAGGACUAGGAACUUUGAUAAUGAUAACUUUUGAUAAUGAUAACUGGACUUAGUUAUUUUGAGUAAGUUGUGUAAGUGAAACGAGUUAUUAGUGCCAGUGGCAAUCGGGAUGGUAUAUUAUUUGUAUCCUAUCAAAACCCAAAACCGAACAGCAUACGAACUAGUUCUAUAUUAUAUAGAAAUUUAUAUUUGUGCUAUGGAAAUUUGUUUUUUCGGUAUGAUAUAUUUGGAAAUUUAGUUAAGAGAAAUGAUUUUUGCUGUUUCGGAUUUUUGUCUCAGUUUUGAAUUUCAGUUUUGGAAAAUCCCUUUGUCUGGAGUUCAAAUUCGGAUAUUGGUUCAAGAAGCUGGAUUGGAUUUGGGCUUUUGAAAAUUCGCCCCAAAUAUGACCCGGUGACAUUCCUGAUUUUGGAUGAUGAAUAAUACUAUGUGUGUGGUGGGGGUUUUGAGUACCAGGGAUUUUUAAGUAUUUAACU